GAUGAACGCUGGCGGCGUGCCUAAUACAUGCAAGUCGAGCGAACGGACGAGAAGCUUGCUUCUCUGAUGUUAGCGGCGGACGGGUGAGUAACACGUGGAUAACCUACCUAUAAGACUGGGAUAACUUCGGGAAACCGUAGCUAAUACCGGAUAAUAUUUUGAACCGCAUGGUUCAAAAGUGAAAGACGGUCUUGCUGUCACUUAUAGAUGGAUCCGCGCUGCAUUAGCUAGUUGGUAAGGUAACGGCUUACCAAGGCAACGAUGCAUAGCCGACCUGAGAGGGUGAUCGGCCACACUGGAACUGGGACACGGUCCAGACUCCUACGGGAGGCAGCAGUAGGGAAUCUUCCGCAAUGGGCGAAAGCCUGACGGAGCAACGCCGCGUGAGUGAUGAAGGUCUUCGGAUCGUAAAACUCUGUUAUUAGGGAAGAACAUAUGUGUAAGUAACUGUGCGCAUCUUGACGGUACCUAAUCAGAAAGCCACGGCUAACUACGUG
rnacentral:rRNA from 1 species